rnacentral:rRNA from 1 species
UACGUAGGUGGCAAGCGUUGUCCGGAUUUACUGGGCGUAAAGAGCGCGCAGGCGGUCGAUCAAGUCGCGUGUGAAAGCCCCCGGCUCAACUGGGGAGGGUCACGCGAUACUGAUCGACUCGAAGGCAGGAGAGGGUAGUGGAAUUCCCGGUGUAGUGGUGAAAUGCGUAGAUAUCGGGGGGGAACACCUAUUGCGAAGGCAGCUCGCUGGGACGUUACUGACGCUGAGACGCGAAAGCGUGGGGAGCAAACGGG